UGGGGAAUUUUCUGCAAUGGGCGAAAGCCUGACAGAGCAAUACCGCGUGAGGGAUGAAGGCCCGUGGGUCGUAAACCUCUUUUUUCAAGGAGGAAGUUCUGACGUGUACUUGAAGAAUAAGCAUCGGCUAACUCCGUGCCAGCAGCCGCGGUAAGACGGAGGAUGCGAGUGUUAUCCGGAAUUACUGGGCGUAAAGCGUCUGUAGGUGGUUUAGUAAGUCGAUUGUUAAAGCUUGGGGCUUAACUCCAAAACAGCAAUGGAAACUGCUAGACUUGAGUAUGGUAGAGGUAAAAGGAAUUUCCAGUGGAGCGGUGAAAUGCGUAGAUAUUGGAAAGAACACCGAUGGCGAAGGCAUUUUACUGGGCCAUAACUGACACUCAGAGACGAAAGCUAGGGUAGCAAAUGGG
rnacentral:rRNA from 1 species